UCCACACCUCCUCACUCUCAUUUAAGGGUUAGCAGCUGAGGGAGCUGCAUCUCUCUGUGUAGAGAUGGUGCUUCUGUCAAGCUGUUACCAGUCAGCAGAAGAGCCAGCAAUCAGAGCCACUGAGCUGAAGGAAUGCCUGCUCUCUCUCAGCAAUGCCUUCCAUCGAAGCUGAUGGGGUCCUGUCAGCAGCUUAUCCGGACAGAACCACCGGCGCCAUCUUCAUUAGGGGAAAAGCUAAUAUAAACAAAUAAGGCGUUAGUGUAGACAGCAGACUGAGACUAUUACUGAAAAAUGCUUUGCGGCAGUUGCUAUGCCUUUAGUUUUAAAAAUAUAUAAAUGUUAUAUGAAUCUCAAAUCCUCUUUUAUUUACAUAAAAUAUUUAUACAUCAAGCAAGACAAUUUCACAACUUUAUAAUGUAUUUUCCUGUUGGAUUAAUCUUUUCAUAUGGUAACCACAUUACAAGUAAACAUUUUCCUAGUCUCAACUACAUGAAUGUGGCUAAAAGCUUCCUUGUUAUUUUAUAGUUACAGCAUUUCAAAUGUAUCCCUUUUUGACGUGGUUAGGCAGCCUGCCAGUUUUACCACUAAAUUAUAGCAGAGAAAACACUCCGCAGAAUUUGAUUAGAUUUCUUCCUUCUCCCCAUGAGUAAGGCAGAGCAAAUUUAUGUUCAAAAUGCAAGCUGGGUUCUAGAGAAUUGAAUAUAGAUCCAUAUUUGCAGUGUUAAAAAUGCAUGCAAGCUUUGUAGUUGAAAAUACACCUUGUUUGUUGUGAUGCUUUAUAUUAUUGUUGCUUUUUGUUCUGUUAUGUCACUAUCAUCUGUAGAAUGAAAAGCAUUAGACCAUAUUGAAGUCAGGGUUUGUAUUUCAGACAAUUAGUGAUGAAGAUGUCUUAAUCUCUUCUACUAAUAAACUGUAUUAA